AAUAAUGACGAGGGGAAAAAUAAAUAAAAACAAAACAACAAAACGUGACAUUUGCCUGUUGACUUUUGACACUUGCAAUCAUUUUGGGCAAACCCGAAGCGAAGAUUUAUAUGCAAACUCGACAGAUCUUCAUGUAAAUUCAACGCCAGACAUGCAUGUUAGGCUCAAAUUUUUCAAGUAAUUCGCAAUGGUUUACAUAGAGCUGCUACUUCGAUUCGCUUGGAUAUUUGGCACACGUGACCCAGAUGGGCGUUACUCCAUUUAAUUAUGUGGCACACCAAGAAACGAGAAAUACAUAAAGCAUCAUUUGUCAACCGGCAAAAUUUCGGUUAACUAUUACCUCGCGUGGCCCAGAAAAGCGAGGCAGCCCACGAAAAUAGAAAAUAAAUAAAUGCAAAAAAAAAUAAAAAUAAAAAUAAAAUAAAAGGGAACCCAGCCAGGCGACAUGCUAUAAACAUUUUUGUUCAUUUCAUUUCGCGCAGACAUGAAACAUAAGUGAAUUUCAUUUAGUUUUCAUUAUUACGCCUAUUUCCGUACGCCGAAAGCAGGCCACAAAUUGCAUGCCACCUAAUUUGGUUAGGGCCCCGGAAUGCUUUUUCAACCGGGCAUUAACCAGCCAACUAUCCGUGCCCAGGCCCCCUAAAUGUGACCCCAUAAACCAUUGACCCACUAACCCCAACCCUAAGUAAUGACCCCGGGCGAAAAACGUCAACAAAUCCAUAUAGAUUUCAACUGGAGGGACUCCGCUUGGGCAGCGGAAGUGGCGGCGAUUCCAUUUCGUUGGUCAGUUGGUGUGCUGCGUCACCAGAGGGGAACCAAUCGGUGGUCAGUGCUACAGUUGGCAUAGGUCGAUGCUUGUUGGACUUGGUGGUUCUAGUUAUUAGAUCAAAAGAUUCUAAUAACGUAUAAAAAAUAGAAAUUGUUUGGUUAUUAUAACUAUACAAAUUACUAUUUUAAACCAAGUAUUUACACAUCCACCUAAUAGCUUUUUAACAUUCUAAAAACCUGUUCCAUUUUCCAACUAUUUCCAUUACUGUCACCAGUAAAUUCCUGGUCACUAUUUCAAAUCAUACAAAAACCAGAGCGGCGAAAAAAGAGUGCAGCAACAGAUGCCACAAGGUGUGCGCCUGACAUAUAAACCCUAAUACCCCAACACAACGCCAAAUGCGAACAAUCGGCAACCCCCAACUGCCAACGGGCCAACGUGGCGUAUGUGUAAUGGUGGUCAAUGCACUGCUUAAAUCGGAAAAGCUCCCCAGCCGUAACCUCCAAUCUAGGGGGACAAAUGGGAAAAGGCAUCGGUUGGUUGGUAGGAAAAGAUAAAGGCAAAAAACAAUAACAAUUUUAAUAACUUCCGUUCUAGAAACACUUUUCACUGGCUAUCGAAUGCACAAAGACAAUAGCGUGAAAUGGGGGGCUUUUUGGGUAUUGGGACUGGCCAAGUGCAGCGGGUUAGCGGAUUUUAUUGCCCGUGUUUCUGUGCAUUAUGUUUUAUUGAGCCCAACUGUGCGGCACCAACAAUCGUGAAAAUCGCUUUAAGUGGCAACUGCCCGCUUUGGGUGGAACAAAGUGGAUCGGAGUUGUCGCUUUUGUUGUCGGAAAAUGACAAUUAGCCGUGUGUUUUCCUCCAUUUUCUUUCCACUUGCUCAUUUGACAGUCGACUGCAUUUCCACUCGUUGCCCACAAAUGCAAAUGGGGAAUGGAAAAUACAAAAGGAAUAAGCGCACAAAUAUAGAUGCAUCUGAUGUUGAUGUUGAUUUUUCGUAGCUCGUCGCGGAAGUCUUCGAAUGUAAUUCCAGAUUGAGUAAUAAACAUCCAAUUAUCUGUGUGUAACAGCUGCAAGCGCAUUGCAGAUUUUGGUUAAUGGGUCUGUCGACAUCGAGAUGAAAAUGCAGGAAGCGAAGUGAAAACUGUUACAAUCUGAAUCGAAAUUAGCCACGGGGGAUUAUUUGUUUUCGAAAUAGAGUUAAAAAUGAUGAGAGUGAGUCGUUGCAAGGGGAAAUCGGUGCGGAGAUCGAGAUCCCCAGUAACCUUUCGACUUUGAUUGAUUGGCAGACGGUGCGGAGUAUGGAGAAGGUUUUCUCCACUUUGUGGGCUUGGUAAUCCGAAAAAUACAAGCUAAAAUACUGCUAAACUGUUGGUUUUUGUUAAACUAUAACAAAUGAACCUUGUCGAAUAUAUUACAACAUAAUCACUCAAGCAGUUUGAGUUCUGAGUGUGAAGUGCCUCCACUUAUAAUUGCCCGCUUUUACAACACAAGACAAUAAUUAUUUCUGUCACAAUAUGAUGUGCCAUGUGCUGGGCAAAUUUUAAUAGCACCCAAAAAAAGAAUCUUCGCCACUAAUUCAAUUCUCGUUAAUGGUCUGCCCAACCUUGAUGUUCAUUAACCCACCAGACCGACUCAAGUUCAAUCACAAAGCCUCAGGGCAGGGCAAAAUAAAAAAAAAAGAGAAAAAAAAUAUAUCAACUAAUCAAAAUGUCACACUUUCCAUACAGAAAGCGGAGAAAAAAUCUGCUGACAGCUGACAAAACCAAAGCAACCAAAACCAAAACCCAGCAACUACAAACUACGAGCUUUUCUGUGUGUGUGUUUGUAGUUUUUGUGGCGGAGGAAGGGGGCGUUGGCGCUUUACAAUGAGCCAUGGAAUACUCGAGCAAUUGCUGGUGGGUCCGAUGGGUGGUUCAUGGUGGUGCGCGGUGUGGUGCAGGGCGGUGGUGCUCAGAUUACAGCAGACAGGGGCCAGGAAAACGCCGAGCGACGUUGACGACUCGCGACAAUUGCCUCAACUUUGGCGUUAAUGAACAUGAGCACACUUUACCAAAGCGAGACGAGAGUUUUUCAUGGCCCAAGCCCCCCUUCCAUUCCAUUUCAGGCCUGAUUCCAAGACGGCAUAAUGAAUUGAUGUGGCUGCUGCCAGCGCGAUGAUUAUGAUGAGAUCCAGUCGAGUCGAGUCGAGAUGGGAAAAGCAUAGACGGCGUAGCAAAACUCGUCCACAAUUUGUGAGAGAAGCGAAAGAGCGAACAAAAAGCAUUUUAACAUUUAAUAAUAUGAAAAUAAUUGAAGCAAUUACUAAAAGCAACAUAUACGAGUGACAGAGCGAAGGCACGAUCAACACAAUUAACCAUAUUGUAGUUUCUUUAUGACCCAGACCGCUUGUGCGAGAAUUGUUAUAUAAAGGCAAGAAGAGAUCGUGCGAGCUAUAAAAUCGAUAAGUUAAAUUUUUAUUAAUUAAAUAUUAUACUUAUUUCUCAAACCACGAUGUGCAAUCCUUUAGUCUACCAUUGGGUUAAUGAUAUUACCUGUGCCACUUGCUUUUGCGGCCGAUUAGUUAACAAGCUCGACUUACCAGCCUGUAAACUAGAUCAAUUACAGAUUUUACCCCUUUCCCUUUUGGUCCCUCAAUCCUAAUGUUUCUACUUAUCGAAGAAGGCAGAAAGCCGAAGCAAACAAGUAAGGGAAAAGGCAAACCACAGGCAGAAACAAUUGACAUUUGAUUGACUGACAGUCGUUUGUCAGUUUUUUGACAAUUAGGCGUCAAAGUGAAAUUGCUUUCGAUUUCAUAUGAAAACGGAGACAUAUGCCCCACAAUUGCCUUGAAAACUGAUUGGGAAAUUCUGGGACUGGCCUUGAUUGCUGUGGAACUAUUUUUAACACAAAACUGUGUUUGGUUUACUAUUUUUGCAGCUACCCAAAAAAAAAGUCAAAGAGAAGGCCUGCCGAAAUUAGGUCAAAAUUCUCCCACUUGGCAUGCGAAAUAAAAUGGCGAGAGAAGGAAAAAUUUUAAACAUUUGAAUAUAAAACUAAUUGGGGGUCGUGCUCGAAAGACAAAAGUCUUCUUAUAAAAUGAUCAAGUUGGCGGCGAUCAUCCAUCGGCUAUCAUGAUUACCCUCAUCUUUUGAGAAUGGGGAUUUUUGUAAUCUUUUCGCUGGAAAUGGGGCUGCAGAGUCCCCAAAGUCCAUUUAGCAUUGAACCAGUUUUUUGAUCUCCGGCCAGGCAGUUCAUUACGAAGAUAAACACAUCAAUCGGCCAAAUUUAAUAGUAUUUAUUUGGUUUUCGUCUAUUUUUACUGCUAAUUUUCACAGUUUGCUCUUUGCUUUAUUACAUUUCGAAUCGCAUAAGACACAUAUUUGCCGGAUGACAAACAACAUUAUAUCGUGUGUGUCGGCUUUUGUUUAUAAUGCCAAAUUCAGAGGUUCACUGAACUGAACCGCUUGUCGCGUGGUCACCAGAAGAGGGGUAAUUAGUGAUGGCAUUUGGUCUGAAUUCCCCCGUUCGCCGAUCGAUCCAACUAGUUUAUUUCACAGAAUCCAAUUGAGUGCUGGUGCUCACAAAUAAAUGAUACACAUCUUGUUCGGCUUCUAAGGCAUCGAUUACGUGCAGAGCAUCUGUAACGAGCUCUCAGUCAAAGUAGAAGCCACAAAUUGCAUGGCUUGCACACUAAACCCAUUCACUGCACAUAUAGAGUGGUGGUGGGUGGUUUUCCACUCGGGUGGAAAAACAGUUUCUCGAGUGCUGUUGCACCUGAGCCGAGGAAAUCCCGCACGAAAAACUAUUUGGCGAGUGUUUUUUAUUGCACUCUUCAAGGCACCUGGUGUGCUAAGCUUAUGUGCUCAAAUAUUCAGGGACAAAAUAAAAACGCUUUUACGGGAUUAUAUAUUUUAAGCAUCCCCGAAUCCAUUGUUUCUGAUCACCUUUUUGGCGCACACAGCGUGCUUCGUGAGCUUGUGGCCAUUAAAAUGCGCUUUUAUAUCGCGGUUUUAUGGCUAAAUUUUAUUUAAAUCUGGACCGUUUCGAGAGUUUCUCGUUGAGGCUGGGCAAGGUUUAUUUUUGUGCAACAGCCACGAGAACAGGCGAAUUUCUUUGUUUACUUUUCGUGUGCGAGGAGAAUCAUUAAAAACUUGACCCAGUUUUUCGGGCUAAAGUCAAACCAUAUAUCACUUGGAGCGUCGAGCUACUCAACGCAGUGCAGCAGCAUCAGAAAACCGACACAGCACCGACAAAGUCAACUCACAAAAGAAAUAUGAGAAAACUCGUAAAUAAGAAAUGUCACAAAAUUUCCAUUUGAAAGGUUUUCUCUGGCAUAGGAAAAAACAGUCGAAAAGUGGAAGUAUACAAACACAAGAGCGGGCCAAAAGUCAAGGUCUGUCAACUCUUCAUCGCUGGAACAUUUAAAGCGGAAUAAAUAAAUUACAAUGCAGACCAACAAAAAUGGAAAGUAAAUGAGUCGGGAAAUGCAAGACAGACAGUAUUUCAAUAAAAACCCAAAAUUUCCACAGCAGAAAGUGCAAGUUAAAGGUCUGAAUAUUGAUUGGUGGCUGGGGCGAAAUACUUAAUGAGCGUCAAUGGCUGUCUAAACAAUUUGUGAAGACUCAUAAUGAAGUUGUCAAUUAGACGAGGAGAAAACCUUGCGCAAGCUGUUUUAAAUCAGCCAAAAGUUUUGCUAAUUGUACUUGGAGGGGGCAGGAUGAAGCCGCUAAAAUCCCUAACAAGUUGCUGGCCAAACACGAAGACCUGAACUCCUGGGGUCCGAAACUUGCUAAACUGGCUUCGGAGGCUUUGGCUUCUUUCACAUGGUCUGCGAUGCAGGUUUUUGAAGAUCAUGGUCCAGCGAGCUAACAACUUGUUGUUACUCUUGUUGUUGUUGUCGCCAAACGCAUGCCCCUUGAUUGUUGUUGUUGUUGCUGUUGCAGAUGUUGGCGUUGCACUUAAGUGGCUAAAGAUUUUUAAGGUUAAUGCACUUGAGUUCGUUGUCGCUUCUUUGCUGACCAAACUUGGUUGCCCGGUUGUUGUGUUUGGUGUUACAACUAUGACGGCAACUCCUUUCGUGAUCUUGUCGCAAUUUACAUUUUCAUCCACCAAUAAAUGCGUAAAUAAUAAUUAUCCGUUAGGCUCUGCACAUAAAUUGCCAUCAAUUUGCUUUUGGAUCUUGUUUUUAUGUUUUCCCUCAUGAUCAUUUUUCGCGGCUUUUGAUUUUGACAAAUAUUACGCAUACGCAGCGUUAACCGGUGAGACACAUGCCACAUGCAAUAAGGCACUUUCACUUGCUCACAUUGCAUGGUUAAUUUAGGAGACAGAUUAUUCAACUGACUAAUUUGUUACGAAAAAAGUGUGGAAAGGCGGUCCGAAUGAAAUUAACUAAGUUAAUUCACAUGCAUAUAUAAUAACAGUAGGUGAAGUCAAUGAGGCUCUCUGCCUGUUUAUUCCGAAAAUUUUGAUGUUUGAUAUAUAAUUACGGAUUUUGUCUCAGUCAAUUUCUUAUGAAAAUAAAACUUGUUAUACUUUUCAAAGUAAACAAAAUAACGAUU
rnacentral:misc_RNA from 13 species